AUGUAUCACGGGUGUGAUCGUUUUUAGCCGUAGCCACUUCGGCGCAUGCGUAUAUUCGCCUGCUAGGCGUGAAGGCCAGGACGUGCGCCGGUGUUGCUCCUGAAAAGCCAUGAGGGCGAAAUGGAGAAAGAAAAGAAUGCGGAGGCUGAAGCGCAAGCGAAGGAAGAUGAGGGCGAGGUCAAAGUGAAAUGUCAUUAAUUGCUGCAAAACUGCAGUGAUUGGCAACUGCUUUAAAGUUCCACUUCAUCAAUGGUUAUUGACAGAUUUUCAAACUUGUGUUCUUUAGAAACCUUUUACAUGACUUUUAUGAAUUGUUUUUGUGUAACAAAUUAAAGUUUAGAAAUCUAAUGUGCUGUGUAAGAAAUGGCUGCAUUGGUUUUUUAUGUUCAUAUUUUCUCAUAUCUAUUUAUGCCAAAGCUAGCUAAUUUUGCCAUUUUAACCUGACAAAUGAAAGUUCAUCUGUUUUACUACAUUUUUAUACUUUGAUACAACUAUUGCCAUAUUGUAUGGUUUGAAAAUUCCAACGUCUUGUCUGGCAUCAGUCAUUUUCUCCUUAAGAAGUACUAAGAAUUGAGCCCUUAUAUUUUUCCAUGCCAGUGGGCUGUGGAUGCUCAGUCAUUUGAAU